GGGUGGCAAGCAUAGCUGGUGCGUGCCUUGGGCUUCAAACCCAAUGAGUGCUUAGGUGUCUAGGCGCUGGGGAGUUCGAUUCUCUCGCCAUCUC
rnacentral:tRNA from 1 species